AUUGAACGCUGGCGGCAGGCCUAACACAUGCAAGUCGAGCGGAUGAAGGGAGCUUGCUCCUGGAUUCAGCGGCGGACGGGUGAGUAAUGCCUAGGAAUCUGCCUGGUAGUGGGGGAUAACGUCCGGAAACGGGCGCUAAUACCGCAUACGUCCUGAGGGAGAAAGUGGGGGAUCUUCAGACCUCACGCUAUCAGAUGAGCCUAGGUCGGAUUAGCUAGUUGGUGGGGUAAAGGCCUACCAAGGCGACGAUCCGUAACUGGUCUGAGAGGAUGAUCAGUCACACUGGAACUGAGACACGGUCCAGACUCCUACGGGAGGCAGCAGUGGGGAAUAUUGGACAAUGGGCGAAAGCCUGAUCCAGCCAUGCCGCGUGUGUGAAGAAGGUCUUCGGAUUGUAAAGCACUUUAAGUUGGGAGGAAGGGCAGUAAGUUAAUACCUUGCUGUUUUGACGUUACCAACGGAAUAAGCACCGGCUAACUUCGUG
rnacentral:rRNA from 1 species